rnacentral:misc_RNA from 1 species
ACAAAUAGAACAUAACUUAACUUACAUGUAGCUACGUGACAAUAUAUUUUUUUAAAGUUAUCUGGGGAAUUUUCCGGACAGAAACGUAGCAACAAUAUUCGUUCUACGAAUAGCUCUUUGCAUUUAGUUUCGAAAGUUGUAACGCGCAUAACGCGGUGUCAUUUUGUAUCGUUGCCAAACCCGAAAACAUUAGUAUGACGCGGUUUAGUGGUCCUUUAACCUCUAAUUAAUGUGUUGGUACUAUGUUCUCAUCGAUCCGUUAUACUCUAUCUGCGGCGUUUUAACGAAAAAUUGCACCAGGAACGGAAUAGGUGCGAGUGGUCGCGGAUCGAUGCAAGAAAAAGCAACACCACCUUCACGAAGAUGUCAAUCGCCGGAUCAACCAAAUCCCGCCACUCCGAUAACAGAAAAACCGACCGCCGCAAUCGGACGAAUAGGUUGGGCGUUAAGAACAUUACUUUUAAGUCAAAACACUUGUUUAAGAGAUCGAAAACCGUCAGGAAGAUUGGUUAGAAGAUGUGCCCCAGGAAAUGAACUGGUUGAUUGGCUUUUAGAGCUGUCGAGUUGCGUCCAUACGAGGGUUCAAGCGACGGGAAUGUGGCAAGCUUUGUUAGAAGAAGGCGUUAUAGCCCACGUUUCUAGGGAAAAACCGUUUAAAGAUAAAUGUUUCUUGUACCGUUUUUGGCAAGACGAAGACGGGUCAUCGACUUGUUUACCAACAUUAGAUGACGUGGCAACUGCAGAGGAUCACAUUAGAGAUUCUUUAGCUACUUUAAUCAAUCGGGGCCCAGAUGCAAUGUUAAGAAUGAUUUUGCGAAAACCAAGUCACGAAAGAACAAGUGACGAUUUAGAAACGAUUUACGACGAAUUAUUGCACGUUCGAGCUUUAGCACAUUUAACAAAUUCAGUUAAAAAAGAAUUAGCUGGAGUUAUUAUGUUUGAAAGUCAUCCUAGACCAAGCACAGUUCUUUUCCAUCAAGGCGAUGAAGGAAAAUCGUGGUUUAUUAUCUUAAGAGGUUCAGUCGACGUCGUUAUACACGGAAAAGGAACUGUAACGACUUUACAUGAAGGCGACGAUUUCGGAAAAUUAGCUUUAAUAAACGACGCUCCAAGGGCGGCAACAAUCGUUCUUCGCGAACAUAAUUGUCACUUUUUGCGUGUCGACAAAGAAGAUUUCAAUCGAAUUUUAAGAGACGUCGAAGCAAACACCGUUCGCUUAAAAGAACACGGAAGAGACGUUUUGAUUUUAGAAAAAAUCUCUUCUCAAUCGAAAUUGGCUCAUUUCAAAUAUACUGUAAUGGCUGGAACUCCGCAAAAAAUGUUAGAACAUCUUUUAGAAACACGAUUAGAUGGAAAAUCGGUAAAUUAUACGACGAACGAUUUUAUAUCGACAACGCAAGAUCCAUUUAUGGACGAUUUUUUAUUAACUCACAUCAUUUUUUUGCCGACUCACCGUUUAAUCGAUGAGUUAGAACGUUAUUAUCGGAUGGAGUCUUCGACGCAAGAUCGCGAUUUUAUGUUAUCAUGUAAACGACGUGUCGUCCAAUUCAUUUAUAAGUGGAUAUCGACGAUACGACAUCCGGUUUUCGAAGAUGAAUCGGUUACCGAGUUUUUAGAGGAUCUCGCCAAAGACUUGGAAUCGGAUUUUUUGCAUAAUUCGGCGUUACAAUCGGAAGCGUCUUUAAUGCACCAUGUUAUGACUCAAUUAAAGCGGUAUAAAGAUGAGCGGAAGUUACGAGAGGGGCAGAAAUGGAAACUUCCUACUAAUGGGCAACCAGUUAGUUUAUUUACGGGUUGUGACCCAGGAAAUAAUCGAACUGUUAUUAUGCCGCAAGAUGAUAUAAUUUUUAGGGUGUAUUGUGCAGAUCAUACUUAUUGUACUUUAAGAUUACCAGUUGAUGCAUCUGCUGAGACCAUAAAACUAUUCGCGGCGGAUAAAUUACAAAUGAGGCCGUGCGAAGAACUUUUAUUGGUUGAGGUUAAAUCAACCGGAGAAAGGGUAGUUUUUAAAGAUAACGAUAUCAGUAUUCCAACAGCUAUUAGUAUUAACAGUCGAAUUUUUGUUACACCAAAAGAUCAUUUAGAUGCUUUGACUUGUAUACCAGAACAAGAAGAAGCAACCCAAGGUGUUGAUGGCGACUUGGAACUGUUUAGUACAAAAGAAUUGGCUUAUUAUAUGACUUUAUUCGAUUGGGAUCUUUUUUGGUGCGUUCAUGAAUACGAGUUAUUAUAUCACACGUUUGGAAGGCAUCAUUUUGCGCAAAUAACGGCAAAUCUCGACGUUCUUAUUCGGCGAUUCAACGAAAUCCAAUUUUGGGUUGUCACAGAGUUGUGUUUAACGUCCAAUUUAAAUAAACGUGUUGCUGUUUUAAGAAAAUUUAUCAAAUUAGCUGCAUAUUGUAGAGAAUAUCAAAAUUUAAACGCAUUUUGCGCAAUAGUAAUGGGUUUAAGUAACGUGGCAAUAUCACGUUUAUCAUUAACUUGGGAUAAAUUGCCAUCGAAAUUCCGUAAAAUGUACAGCGAUUUCGAGGCGGUUAUCGACCCAAGUAGAAAUCAUCGCGCUUACCGAGUAAGUGUUGGAAAAUUGCAACCGCCGGUGGUUCCAUUUGUUCCACUCUUAUUAAAAGAUAUGACGUUUACGCACGAAGGCAACAAAACUUCGAUGGAAGGUUUGGUAAAUUUCGAAAAAAUGCACAUGUUAGCACAAACGAUGAGAACGUUGCGGUUUUGCAGAAGUAGACAUCUAGUUUUAGAACCGCCCUCACCAAAAAGUGAAGGUGAAAUAAAAUCGUACAUUUCGUGUUUACGGGUAAUAGACAAUCAAAGAAUCCUCACGAGCUUGUCGCAAAAAUUGGAGCCGAGGAGGUCAUAGUCAAUACCGGUCACUUUUAGGCACAGUUUGGCCGAAACGUUUAAUAAACUAACAGGACCAAGAAAUUAUUUUUAGCAACUACUAUUAAUUAAACAAAUGAGAUU